rnacentral:lncRNA from 1 species
AAAAAGUUGGUUAAACUGAAGGUACAAUCUCUUGAGCUUAGUUAAGUAACUUAGAGUAAUUGGAAUUGAACCACUAAACUGAUUACCAGAUAAGUCCAUACCAGUGAGGUUUUUCAAAUUCCCCAAUUCACUAGGAAUGGGACAAAAAAAUUGGUUAGACUGAAGGUACAAUCUCUUGAGCUCAGUUAAGUUACCUAGAGUAAUUGGAAUUGAACCACUAAGCUGAUUAUCAUAUAAUGUCAUAGUAGUGAGGUUUUUCAAAUUCCUUAACUCACUAGGAAUGGGACCAGCAAGAUGGUUAGAAUGAAGGUACAGACUCUUGAGUUUGGUUAAGUCUCCUACAACAGUUGGAAUUGAACCACUAAGAUGAUUAUCAGACAAUUCCAAAUCAGUGAGGUCUUUCAAAUUCCCCAACUCACUAGGAAUGGGACCAGAAAGUUGGUUAGAAUAAAGGUACAGACUUUUGAGCUCAGUUAAGUCACCUACUGCAAUUGGAAUUGAACCACUAAGCUGAUUAUCAGACAAUUCCAAAUCAGUGAGGUCUUUCAAAUUCCCCAACUCACUAGGAAUGGGACCAGAAAGUUGGUUAGAAUGAAGGUACAAACUCUUGAGUUUGGUUAAGUCUCCUACAACAGUUGGAAUUGAACCACUAAGAUGAUUAUGAGACAAUUCCAAAUCAGUGAGGUCUUUCAAAUUCCCCAACUCACUAGGAAUGGGACCAGAAAGUUGGUUAGAAUGAAGGUACAAACUCUUGAGUUUGGUUAAGUCUCCUACAACAGUUGGAAUUGAACCACUAAGAUGAUUAUCAGACAAUUCCAAAUCAGUGAGGUCUUUCAAAUUCCCCAACUCACUAGGAAUGGGACCAGAAAGUUGGUUAGAAUAAAGGUACAGACUUUUGAGCUCAGUUAAGUCACCUACUGCAAUUGGAAUUGAACCACUAAGCUGAUUAUCAGACAAUGACAAAUCAGUGAGUUUUUUCAAAUUCCCCAACUCACUAGGAAUGGGACCAGAAAGUUGGUUAGAAUAAAGGUACAGACUUUUGAGCUCAGUUAAGUCACCUACUGCAAUUGGAAUUGAACCACUAAGCUGAUUAUCAGACAAUGCCAAAUCAGUGAGUUUUUUCAAAUUCCCCAACUCACUAGGAAUGGGACCAGAAAGUUGGUUAGAAUAAAGGUACAGACUUUUGAGCUCAGUUAAGUCACCUACUGCAAUUGGAAUUGAACCAGUAAGCUGAUUAUGAGACAAUGCCAAAUCAUUGAGGUUUUUCAAAUUCCUUAACUCACUAGGAAUGGGACCAGCAAGUUGGUUAGAAUGAAGGUACAGACUCUUGAGUUUGGUUAAGUCUCCUACAACUGUUGGAAUUGAACCACUAAGAUGAUUAUGAGACAAUUCCAAAUCAGUGAGGUCUUUCAAAUUCCCCAACUCACUAGGAAUGGGACCAGAAAAUUGGUUAGAAUAAAG